rnacentral:rRNA from 1 species
GGUGUAGCGGUGAAAUGCGUAGAGAUCGGGAGGAAUACCAGUGGCGAAGGCGGCCUUCUGGACUGACACUGACACUGAGGUGCGAAAGCGUGGGUAGCAAACAGGAUUAGAUACCCUGGUAGUCCACGCCGUAAACGAUGUCGACCAGCCGUUGGGUGCCUAGCGCACUUUGUGGCGAAGUUAACGCGAUAAGUCGACCGCCUGGGGAGUACGGCCGCAAGGUUAAAACUCAAAUGAAUUGACGGGGGCCCGCACAAGCGGUGGAGCAUGUGGUUUAAUUCGAUGCAACGCGAAGAACCUUACCUACUCUUGACAUCCUGCGAAUUUGGUAGAGAUACCUUAGUGCCUUCGGGAACGCAGAGACAGGUGCUGCAUGGCUGUCGUCAGCUCGUGUUGUGAAAUGUUGGGUUAAGUCCCGUAACGAGCGCAACCCUUGUCCUUAUUUGCCAGCGCGUAAUGGCGGGAACUCUAAGGAGACUGCCGGUGACAAACCGGAGGAAGGUGGGGACGACGUCAAGUCAUCAUGGCCCUUACGAGUAGGGCUACACACGUGCUACAAUGGUCGGUACAAAGGGUUGCCAACUCGCGAGAGUGAGCCAAUCCCGAAAAGCCGAUCUCAGUCCGGAUCGGAGUCUGCAACUCGACUCCGUGAAGUCGGAAUCGCUAGUAAUCGUGGAUCAGAAUGCCACGGUGAAUACGUUCCCGGGCCUUGUACACACCGCCCGUCACACCAUGGGAGUGGACUGCACCAGAAGUGGUUAGCCUAACGCAAGAGGGCGA